AUACAUAAAUAAAGAAGAAUAAGAUUAUUUUAGGCCUGAUAGGACGUAUCGGCAUUAGAUAGAGAUACGCCCCCUCCAAGCUUCCAGACUUUCAAAUUGAAUCUCUGGCCUGUUUUAUUUCCCAGCUCACAGUGAUCUAAAGAUACCGGAGGGCAUUGCAUAAUAAGAGCAGACGCGGCUUCGGUUUCAGUCAAAAGGAGCGAGUCAGUUAUCUGCAGUCGUUUUCAUUUAUGCCUGAAAUCCAAGAGCGCGCUCUCACAUUCACCCUGUCAGCACUGCACCGUCGCCUAGCGAUGUCCUUUCCGACUGCGGCUGAGGCGACGUCCGGCGGCCACGGAAUCGCGGGAGAGACGCUGCGAAAGUAGAAAACGGCCGGGACUUUUUACUCAGCACCAUUAUCCAGCUAACUCACUAAUCCUGAUUCAUGAAAUACCCAUCUGGACUGGAACAAAGACCUGCAUCCACACUGGCCCUUAUUGGAUAAGAAUGGACAUGCUGUUUAAAUGUUCAUGUUCCAAUUUUUCUUAAACAAUAUUAUUUU